CAGAAAGUAGUUUUAAUAAAAUAUUUACUUUGGGGGUAAAAGUUCCUUUGGGUUUUCUGA
rnacentral:tRNA from 1 species